UUGAUUUCUUUGGGGAAUGUAUGAAUAGUCCCCGAAAUGGUCGUACUCCGCUUGCAAAUGAGAUAUAUGAGCAAAUGGUUGCAGAGAAGGAAAGAGAGCUAGAAGAAGGAGAAGCACAAAAGUCACCCUCCAAGAUUGUUGCUGAUAGUCUCAGCCAGAUCAGCCGCUCAUCCACCUUCCUUCCAAACAUUGGUGUCCCUACAACGUCCAAGACUAGUCGGUCCACAUCGCUAGCUGCACAAGCACGCAUGCAUGCUCAGUUUGAGGAAAAACUCCAAGCUGAAAGAGAGGAAGCUGCUAGGAAGCAGGAAGAGUUGCAAGCACAACUACAAGCUCAACAGGCCGCACUUGAAGAAAACCAAAGUUUGCUGCGCCAGACCCAAGAGGAAGUGAAGGGGAUGCAUACCAAGUUUGAAGAGACCAAUGCACUGCUACGAGCUGUCCUGAAACUUCAGAAAGAUUGAGGUAGGGAUGCAUACCAAGUCUGAGGAUGAUGCCUUUGCUUAAGGUUUUUCUACCUUGCUAGAACAUAUCUGUGGUUAGAACUUUGUCAGAACUACGUACAAUCUGUUUGAAUGCUUCAAACCUUUGUGGUGG
rnacentral:misc_RNA from 1 species